ensembl:lncRNA
GUUUUUUUUUUUUCCAGUUACCAUUGUUCUUUUUAAUCCUUCACAGACAUGUGCUGGGAUUAGGCUGGCUACUGAGCUGACUCUUUGAGAGCAAGCAAGUUGAACUGAGGUUGAGGGAGCUGGGGUUGUUUAGCCAGGAGAAGAGAAUGCUCCAGGGAGAUCUCAUUAAGACGUUCCAGUACUUAAAGAGAGUUUUCAAACAGGAGAGAAAAUGACUUUUUACACAGUCUGAUAGUGAUAGGAAAAUGGGGAAUGGUUUCACACUAAAAAGGGGGGGAUUUAGGUUAGAUAUUAGGCAGAAAUUUAUCACUCAUUGAGUGGUGAGGCGCUUGAACAGGUUGCCCAGAGAAGUUGUGGAUGUCCCAUCCCUGGAGGCGUUCAAAGCCAGAUUUGAUGGGGCCCUGGACAGCUUGUUCUAGUGCUCGGCAACCCUGUUCAUGGCAGCAGGGUUGAAACUAGAUGAUUUUUAAGGUCCCUUCCAACCCAUUCCAUGGCUCUAUGAUUCUAUGAGGUGUGAGAUCAAAGUACAUCAGUUGUUGCUAUCUAAACAAAGGCAUGUUUGAAAGCAAUUAUGUUGUUUUAAAUGAAAUGGAAUAUUUAAUCUCCUUACUCAUAAGACCAACUGUAAAUGUUUCACACACAACUUGCAUUUACCAAGAUUUCCUUUGAACUUGCAUUGACUAUGACCCUUCAUCAACAUACAACUUGCUGAUAAGCUGAGUGUUCAAAUCACAACAAAAAUGUGUUAUAAAAAAAAAUCAUAGAAUUACAUAGACUUUACCAGGAAAUAAGGAACAAAGGAGGAAGAAGUAAGGAAUCUGUGGUGCUUAUUUAAUGCAAUCUUUGAAUAUGAAGAGCUUCAGUCUCUGAAGACACUGCGCUGUCUUUACUUUGAGUUGACCCUCUGGCUACAGCUAUGCAUCCAGCAGAUGUGCAGUUCCACCUUCUAUUCCAGGAUUGAUCCUCUCCUUCCAAAAUCAAAAAGAAGCAGAACAGAUCUGGAAGACUGUAAAGUGAAAGUCUGAGUCAAACAUUCUGACACAAUAUGUUGGAAAAUUGUUGAAAUAUCUUCUUUCACAGAGAUUGGUUCCUAUUGCCAUCCUCCACAUGAAUACAGACUGAUUAUGACUUUGCAUGUUCUAUUUGUGUGUUGUAAAACAUAAUACCAGAACCAUUUGAAUUGGAAGGGACUCAGAUCACCUAAUUCAACCUUCUCAAAGCAAUAAUCAAUACUGAAUUCAGAUGAGGUUUUUUAGAACUUCGUCUAAUUGGAUCCUGAAAUCCUCCAAGAACAGAUAUUCCACAGCCUUCAUGGGUAACAGUACC